AUGGACCAGGAGCUGAUCGAGCACCUUGAGGCCAAAGUGAGUGCUGACAGCGCGAGAUCUCACCCUCUCAUUGAUUUGUUCAUACCAACCAUCGACAGCGAGCACGGCAUAUGCUACACCCAUCCUGAGAAACUUCCAGGUAUCACACUGAGUGGCCUAAGCAAGCUUUUCUUCCAGCACAACUCUAGGGCGUUCAAAAGGGGCACGUGGACGCGUCGCAAAAUACAGUCGGAUUGCGGCAUGCACGCGAUAUGGCACAAGACCGGCAAUACCUUGCCGGUGAUGGUCAACGGCCGGCAGACGGGCAGUAAAAAGGUUCCGGUGCUGCACACCAACAAAACUUCGACCAGCAGAGGACCAACUGGGUGA
rnacentral:rRNA from 1 species